rfam:Beta vulgaris subsp. vulgaris chromosome 6, whole genome shotgun sequence.
GUCUCUUCGGAGACAUCUGAUAAAAUUGGAACGAUACAGAGAAGGUUAGCAUGGACCCUGCACAAGGAUGACACGCACAACUCGAGACUAGGUCCGUACUUUU